AUCUUAUCGUUACUUUUGUUUAAACUGAAUUGAAAACAAAUCAAAUACUGAACUGGUACGAGUUUGGAUUAUGAAUGUUAAUAACAUUUUUAAGAAAUGUCUUUUACAAAUAUAACUCUACAUAUACAUAAUAUAUUGCAAACAUGAUAGCAAAUAUAGUUUUUGAAAUCAAUCCCGCACGUACGUGCGGGUCCAAAUCUAGU
rnacentral:lncRNA from 1 species